GCGUAUGAGUAUUGCGGGAAGUUUAGGCGUACAUUGGCUAAACCCGAGUAACGAAGACACUCAUAAUUCAUAAAUUUAGUGUUGGCUAAAAAACGAUUAGAUUCAGAUUCCUGGAUCUCCGGCUUCAAAUCAAGCUUUGAAGCGGAAGGUGAUCAACAAUACUAGUUAAUUUUCUUUCUCAUCCUUCAAUUACCCAUAUUUAAUAUUUACCUUUCCUCUCCUGGCCGGCCCCUUUGACUCUCAGCUCAUUGGAGGGAGGAGCUUCAAAGCGUUGAGAAUUCACCAGGUAAAGCAUUGUUGUGGAUGCGAUUUGGCUCAAGAGUCAAGAGCCCCCCUAUUCUGAAAAUCAUGAGAGAUUUCAUUGUUGGUUUUGAGGAUUUGGCUGAGGGGUUGUUCUGGUAUUUCUGGGAUGUUUUCGAGUUCGCAGCUGACGAAUUUCUGCUUUUCUGUUUGGUAUUUGCGUCUUUAGCUGAAGAAUUCUUUGCCCGCUUGCUUAGCCAAAUCUUGAUUGCUUAAACACAUUAAUCAAUCCAAUCUAAGCUUUAUGGCUUGCUGUUACUUGUAAUUACCCAAACCUUUGCUUUCUAUACCCAAUUGUUAUAUGCUUUUAAUUAUAAUAUUUUCCAUAUAAUAUUGUACAUUAGAUACAACAAAGUUGGUUCUUGUCAUCCCACUGGCACUGGCUGCAGUAGUUGCAUCGCUUUUCUUGUUGCAACUAAUGUAUCAGACUAUGAAUGCUUUCCUUGUAAUGUUGCAAGUCCUUAUAUCUUUUAUGAUUUCAAACCUAGACAACCAAA